UCGAGUUCAGGUCUGGCUUGGACGACCCCUGGUACGACGUCCUGAUAGGGGAAGGAUGGCUGUGAUCGACUGAGAGUGAAGUUCGUCGGCUACGGCGACGACCAUGACGAGGUUUAUGAAGUGAGCGAGUUGAGUUCGUUCAACGACAUUGACGAGUUCAGGCGGAGGUUCAGGCAGGUGUCCGCACAAGUUCAGGACACGGAGUGCGUCUCUGCCGCCACUAAUACGGCGCCGUUUUCUCAGCACCACCACCACCAAUGUCUCAAAGAAAUGGGCCGUGAAGGAAGUGACGAAGUCCAAUUUGCCCGGGUCCCUGGAGGAGUUCAAGAACCACCUGUCCACUUCCGACUUCGUGCCCAUCUCGCUUCGACACCGCCGACACGUCGUAUUGCAAGGCUAAAUUCAACUUUGUAUUGUUCCCAAGGGAUGUAUUGAAGAUGAGGAUGCCAACUUAUAGAUUUUCAGUUCAAACAUCACAUUUGACUUCCAUGGCGGAAGAAGGUUUUGAUUUCAAUGCCUGCGUAUAUAAUGUUAUGCUGGUCUCUCCUCACCUCUCCUUUUUGGCAUAGGAGCGUGGAUUAGAUUCUGCAGAUUUGAUUUCAUUCCUGGUAGAACUUAAUUUUCAUGUUAAUGGCGAGGCAUAUAACAUAAAUACAUUGAAUGAGAGGCAAAAGAAAAUAGUCAAGGAUCUUGCAGAUUUGGGACUGAUCAAACUUCAGCAGGUUAUACUUUUGUGAUUUAUUCUUGGUAUAACGUGCACUAAAUUGGUAAGAAUUUCCCAGAUGAAAGUUUAACCAUUUCCUGACCUCAAGUUUUAAAUUUCUAUCUUUGUGUACUUAUCCAGGGAAGGAAAGACAGUUGGUUUAUACCUACUAACUUAGCUACUAAUCUUUUAGUUAGCUUGACAGACUCAUCAUCAAGGAAACAAGUAGGUUAUUUGUACUCAUUCUAGCUUUGUCUCUAAUCGUUUAUUCCACAACUAAUUCCUAAUCUUCAAGACAGCUGAUGUGCAUCCAUACAUGCUACUUACGAGAUUUUUUACUCACUUCUUUGUUCGGGGAUUUGUUGUAGUAGAAACAAACUUCAGGCUCUAUGCCCACUCAACAUCUAAACUACGUUGUGAAAUUUUAUGUCUUUUCCUAGCUGCCCUCCCCUUUUAGGGGCGGAUCAACGGUGGGUCAAAGUUGGUCCAUUGACCACAUGGAUGCCGGAAAGUUGGCUGGGAGGGCACCCAAAUUGUUUCUCGCAUCUUGGUUAAGAUGGGUGGCCGAGGUUUCAAAUAGGUUGUGCACUCUAUGUGUGCAAGCCAAAAUUGUAGUAUGGUUUUCAAGUUGCAUAUUUAUUCAUAUCUCAUUAGUUUCUGGUUUUCUCUUUCAUCCUCUCGACAAAUUUCGAUAUCAAAAUUUGAGAUAUUUUGGAUGUUGAAUGUUAUUCAACGUUGGCCAACGAAGGUUAUUCAGUUAAUUCCCUUUGUUGUUUACUCUAAUUAUU
rnacentral:sRNA from 1 species